UACGUAGGGUGCAAGCGUUGUCCGGAAUUAUUGGGCGUAAAGAGCUCGUAGGCGGUCUGUCGCGUCGGCUGUGAAAACCCGCAGCUCAACUGUGGGCUUGCAGCCGAUACGGGCAGGCUUGAGUUCGGUAGGGGAGACUGGAAUUCCUGGUGUAGCGGUGAAAUGCGCAGAUAUCAGGAGGAACACCGGUGGCGAAGGCGGGUCUCUGGGCCGAUACUGACGCUGAGGAGCGAAAGCGUGGGGAGCGAACAGG
rnacentral:rRNA from 1 species